rnacentral:sRNA from 1 species
CAAAUGACAGGAUCCAUAUCAGGAAGACAAUCUGAAGAGCAGAGAUCUCCAAAAACUAAGCAUUUCAAGAGUAUCUGUAGCACAGCCUGGAGUGCAGUGGCGCAAUCAUGGGAUAGCAUGAAUUUUGAGGACUGUUCCCUCUUCGCAUAAGAAUAGAAGUAGCCAUCAGAGUUCAUAUACUUUUUCAACCCUUUUUCCUCAAAUACGUAUCAUUUUUACUUAAGUAACUUCAGUUCUGUGUUUUAAGCUAUCUAAUAAUUGUUGUUUCUACUAUGUUAAGAUAGCCUCUCUACAUUGUUACCCUCCAUCCAAUAAAAAAUACUGAUCUG